rnacentral:lncRNA from 1 species
AGAAAAGCAAAGACCAAGCUCGUACUUUUCAGUCCGCGGCUUGUGUGCCGCGAGGAGAGGCGCAAAGGGUGACACACCAGGAAAGCAGGUAGCAGGCAAGAGUGUGGUUAUCGUUGGACCAGGAUUCAGGAUCUGACUGAGUAGCUGACUCUUAAUCCAGUUUGUGUUGAUCACCAGGAGGAUCUGGACCUCAGUAUUACCACAUCUAGAGGUGAUAUGCCAACUCCACCUUUGCCUUCCACCAUGUUUGGAAGCUCCCUGAGGCCUCACCAGGAGCAGAUGCUCGUCCCAUGCUUCCUAUAAGCCUGCAGAACUGUGAGCCAUAAUAAACUGUGAAUUAUAAAUUGCCUUUAUAGCAAUGCAAAUGGACCAGUACAGAUGGGAUGCUGGGAAGACAGUUGUUUCCACCUUCAGUAAAGUCCGUGGAACACAGUUGUGACUAUAUUCUAGGCCAGCCAAGAUGCUUGUACUCAGAAAGGAGUGGUCUCAGGACCAUAAGAAAGUGAAAAAAUAAAAAUAAGAAAAUAAAGAAGGGAUUGUCAAUGAAUCAGAAUUCAUCAAGGUCAAAGUCUUAGGAAAUUCCUUCAUGAGGAAGUCUAGGGGGGCUAUGGAAAUGAAAUUUUUAAACAAAUAGGUAUGUGGUGCUGGCAGGAAUAAAUUAUGGACUUAUGAAUAUAACAUAAGAUUCUUUAUUACCUGGUCUCACCCGUCUUUCCACCUCUGCCCCCCUUCUUGCCCGACUCUGUGUAUCACCCAUAAUAAACUACUUACAGCUUCCUAGUGUUAAAUUUACCCUAAAGCUGCCUCCUUCAAUAUUUUAAGUUUAACCUAAAGGUUCUUCAUACAUAGUGAACUAUAACCCAAUGAUUAAACAGAUUGUAACCUACUCUUGUACCAGUCACCAAGUUUCAGCCAAUCAGAGGUGGCCAACUGUUCAAACCAUGCUCAAAUAAGGGAAAUGUCAUGGUGUAACUAAUCCAGCUGUUUCUAUACCUUACUUCUGUUUUCUUAGGUCACUUUCCUUUUUGGAAAAGAAAGCUGGAUAAAGUAUUUAUAGAAGAUAGAGGACCUGUGGUGGCUCAUGCCUGUAAUCCAAGGUGGAAGGAUUGCUUGAGGCCAGAAGUUCAAGACCAGUCCAAGCAACAUAGCAAGGCCCCAUCUCUACAAAAAAUGAAAAUAAAAUUAGCCGAGCGUGAUGGCUCAUGCCUGUAGUUCUAGCUUCUAGAGAGGCUGAGGCAGGAGGAUUGCUUGAGUCCAGGAGUUCAAGAUUACAGUGAGCUAUGGUCACACCACUGCACUCCAGCCUGGGUGAUGGAGUGAGACUGUCUCAAUAAAAAGACAAAAAGGCUGGCCAGGGGCAGUGGUUCAUGCCUGUAAACCCAGCACUUUGGGAGGCAAAGGCAGGAGGAUUGCUUAAGCCCAGGAAUUUGAGAUCAGCCUGGACAACAUGGUCAAGGAAGCUUUUCCUGAUCCACUAACUAAGGACAAUCAAACCCUUCAUGAUCUAGAAUCUGGAGACUGUGUCUUCUGGGAAUAGUAUCAGAGAAAGACUGCCCUUACUGCCCACAUGUAGCAAAACUUUGAGACGUUGAAUUAUGGGUCCAUAAUCUCACAACUCAGAGGGGCACCUCUAGACUCUUGGAACUGUAUAUCUAUUGGAGACUUUAAGGUAAAGCUGAACAGAGAGACGUUUUUCUCCAGAAGCAGACAGCACCAUAGUCAUGGACAGCUUUCCCAAGAUCACAGAUCAAGACUUCUCUGCCGUCAUGAGACUCAUAACCUCUUAAUUUUUUCUUGCUUAUGCUUCUGUGAACAAUAGAAUUGGAAAAGGGGUGGUCCCGCGUGCACCCAUAGGGUAUACUUUUAUUUGUGGAGGAUUUUGCUGCCAACCUUAUACAUGGGCAAACUUAUGCCUUCAUGGAUGGAAGAUAAAGGGCUAAUAUGGGUUAGAAAUUUUAAUGGUACCUUUGUUUCUCCAUAAUCAUUCAGAAACAGAACACUGGUCCACUCUUGUUAACCUACAUCAUAGGUUGAAGAGAACAUUGCCAGGAGGCCUUCAUCCUUCCAGAUGGGCACCAUUUGUUGGGUCUUUUUCCGUGGUAUGAAGAAAAUGAAGCAAUGAUUAGAAAUUGGUCCCUCGGCCGGGCACAAUGGCUCAUGCCUGUAAUCCCAUCACUUUGGCAGGCCGAGGCGGGUGGAUCACCUGAGGUCAGGAGUUUGAGACCAGCCUGACCAAUGUGGUGAAACGCCAUCUCUACUAAAAAUACAAAAAUUAGCUGGGUGUGAUGGUGCACACCUGUAAUCCAGCUACUCGGGAGGCUGAGACAGGAGAAUUGCUUGAACCUGGGAGGCAGAGGUUGCAGUGAGCCAAGAUCACCCCACUGCAUUCCAGGUUGGGCAACAGAGCAAGACUCUGUCUCAAAAAAAAAAGAAGAAAGAAAGAAAUUGAUCCCUCAUAAUAGGCUGUAUAGCAGAUUCUACUGCAAAGGCUAUGGUUGCACAACAGACUUCUUUGAAUUUGCUUGCUAAACUUUUACUGGAUAAUACUGGGAUUACAGGUGUGAGCCACUGUGCCCAGCCUCUCCUGUUUAACUGUAUUCAUUCUAAUGUUUACUUACUUCUUUAAUUUGUAAAAUUGGGUCACUUAGAGUUUUUUUAGCCUAUCUUGCCAUUUAGCCACUGUUACUGAUAAUUUGGAUGGAAAAGAAAAAUAAAUUAUAUCACCUCUCAUCUUCAGUGUAUAUAUGUGUUAACUUAGUAAAUAUAGUAUUCUUUCUCGUUCCUAAUGAAAAUUUAGUUUACGUACUGAAACACUGCAAACUUUUAUAAAUAUUGUGAUGUAUUUGACCAAUACAAAGGAUCUUUUUAGAAACAGCAAACAGUUCUCAGAUUAUAGGAAUUACUCAUUUAAUGAUAGUUUCUUCUU